GAAACUUUCAUAGUUCUUGAAAUAUUGGAACACCUUCUAUGUAUUUGUACUUGAUGAUAUAGAUUACAGCGAAGUGCGUGCAGUCGUGGACGAUACAAAAUAACAUGAUCGAUCCCAUGUCGGUGAUCCGAGUGAAUAGUUUCCAACGGGCGUCUGAAACGUUCUUUAACAACAUCAAAUGGCUCCCGGCACUGUUUUGUUAUAGCACAAUCCAAUCAAAUCCAGCUUUUUUACAGGACCAGUUGUCAUCUCGUGUUUUGUAAAGUUAUUCAGUGCUUGUUCACUUACAUACGGAGAUGCCACAACUUACUUAUCUCGGCUACGCUCUGAUAAUGACUUUCCAGAAAAAACGACAUCCAAAUUUGGCAAGUGGCAAACGGGUCCAAAUUUCGAGCAGUUUAAGAUCCAUAUGUACUGACAGAACUAGCUUCGGCGGCGGCAUGCGAUGCUCUCACCAAGUGGAAUCAAACCGACAGAUAGGCCAAGUCAAUUGUCAUUGAAUUCGUAGAGGAUGAAAUCUCUGAAGUUUUUCGGUAGAAGUAAACGACAGGUGAAAUGUGGAGAGCUUGAGAAGAAACCUUUGCAAAAAUAUCCGUUUCAAGCCAAACGUUGCGUAGGAAGCAGUUGACGCGAUUACGGAAUCAGGAAGGAGUCCCUAUCAUUGAUUUCCCUGGUGACGGCACUCGGGAGUCUAGCGGAGAAGGAUGGUAAGGCAGCGACUUCUGGCCAGAGAGAGAAGAAAGGCAGACCACAAAGAUGCGGUUUUCGACGGAGGUAGGAAGAAGCAGCAGGAGAAGUUUACCGGCAAGUGCCAUUGCUGUGACAAGGCCGGGCACAUACAGAAAAACUGUCGUUUGAAGAAACCGGAAACAAGUGCCAAUACGGCAGCCGAUGAGAAGCUGAAGCUAAAGAUCCUUUCAUUAUACAUAUGGCCAAGAAUUAUGUAGUGUCUCAGAUAUAACAUAGUAGUGUCUAGCAUACGGAAAGUUUGCUCGCGGUGGCCAAGACCGUGCGGUGAACUGAUAGGUGUAAUGUUAUUGCCAAAUUUGGAUUUCAUUUCCUUUGGGUAAGCAAAGAUAAACGAAGCCGAGAUAAGUUCGUUGUGGCAUCGCCGUGUGGUUCAUACAGUCAACAAGCACCCAAAGAUCCUUACAAAAGCCGGAAUGGCGACUGAAUUUAAGUAGAAGCUAGAUUCGAUUGGAUUUUGCUAUGACAAAUCAGUGCCGGGAGCCGUUUGAUAGUGUUAAAGAUGAUACGUACCGCCGUUGGAAACUAUUCAUUUGGAUCACCGACAUGGGAUGGAUCAUGUUAUUUUGUAUCGUUCGCCUUUCGCUGUAAUCGCAAGCGCAAAUACAUAGAAGGUGUUGCAAUGUUUCAAAGACUAUGAAGCAAAAGCUAUAUCUCAGAGGCAGAUAAAAAUCUCACCGUGGACCAAGGUCACGAAUAUUUUUCGAAUAAACAA